AUACGGAGGGUGCAAGCGUUGUUCGGAAUCACUGGGCGUAAAGGGCGCGCAGGCGGUUUUACAAGUCAGAUGUGAAAGCCCACGGCUCAACCGAGGAAGUGCAUUUGAAACUGUAAGACUUGAGUAUCAGAGGGGAAGGUGGAAUUCCCGGUGUAGAGGUGAAAUUCGUAGAUAUCGGGAGGAAUACCGGUGGCGAAGGCGACUUUCUGGCUGAAUACUGACGCUGAGGCGCGAAAGCGUGGGGAGCAAACAGGAUUAGAAACCCCAGUAGUCC
rnacentral:rRNA from 1 species